rnacentral:rRNA from 1 species
UGAUGACGAGACGCUAAGGCGUUGAAGCAGUGUAUGUCAGACUUCCAAGAAAAGCUCGCAAUGUCACAAAUAUAAAAUGCCUGUACCAUAACCGACACAGGUGGGUAGGUAGAGUAUACUAAGGGGCGCGAGAUAACUCUCUCUAAGGAACUCGGCAAAAUGACUCCGUAACUUCGGGAGAAGGAGUGCCUUAUUUAUAAGGUUGCAAUAACAAGAUCCAAGCAACUGUUUAUCAAAAACACAGGUCUCCGCUAAGUCGUAAGACGAUGUAUGGGGGCUGACGCCUGCCCAGUGCCAGAAGGUUAAAGAAGUUGGUUAGUGUAUGCGAAGCUGAUGACUGAAGCCCUGGUGAACGGCGGCCGUAACUAUAACGGUCCUAAGGUAGCGAAAUUCCUUGUCGGGUAAGUUCCGACCCGCACGAAAGGCGUAAUGAUUUGGAUACUGUCUCGGAGAGAGGCUCGGUGAAAUAGACUUGUCUGUGAAGAUGCGGACUACCUGCACCAGGACAGAAAGACCCUAUGAAGCUUUACUGUAACUUGAAAUUGGAAUUGGACUUUGCUUGCGCAGUAUAGGUGGGAAGCGUUGAAAAUAUUCUUGCGGGAGUAUUGGAGCUAUCAGUGAGAUACCACUCUUGUAAUGUUAGAUUUCUAACUUUGAACCAUAAUCUGGUCAAAGAACAGUUUCAGGUGGGCAGUUUGACUGGGGCGGUCGCCUCCCAAAUGGUAACGGAGGCGUACAAAGGUUUCCUCUGAACGGAUAGAAAUCGUAUCUAGAGUGUAAAGGCAUAAGGAAGCUUGACUGUGAGACCUACAAGUCGAGCAGGGACGAAAGUCGGUCUUAGUGAUCUGACGGUACUGAGUGGAAAGGCCGUCACUCAACGGAUAAAAGUUACUCUAAGGAUAACAGGCUGAUCUCCCCCAAGAGUUCACAUCGACGGGGAGGUUUGGCACCUCGAUGUCGGCUCAUCGCAUCCUGGGGCGGUAGUACGUCCCAAGGGUUGGGCUGUUCGCCCAUGAAAGCGGUACGCGAGCUGGGUUCAGAACGUCGUGAGACAGUUCGGUCCAUAUCCGGUGUAGGCGCUAGAAUAUUGAGAGGAGCCUUCUUUAGUACGAGAGGACCGAGAAGGACACACCGCUGGUGUACCAGUUAUCGUGCCAACGGUAAACGCUGGGUAGCUAUGUGUGGAGUGGAUAACCGCUGAAAGCAUCUAAGUGGGAAGCCCACCUCGAGAUGAGUAUUCUCA